rnacentral:rRNA from 1 species
UGGGGAAUUUUGGACAAUGGGCGAAAGCCUGAUCCAGCAAUGCCGCGUGUGUGAAGAAGGCCUUCGGGUUGUAAAGCACUUUUGUCCGGAAAGAAAUCCUUGGCUCUAAUACAGUCGGGGGAUGACGGUACCGGAAGAAUAAGCACCGGCUAACUACGUGCCAGCAGCCGCGGUAAUACGUAGGGUGCAAGCGUUAAUCGGAAUUACUGGGCGUAAAGCGUGCGCAGGCGGUUUGCUAAGACCGAUGUGAAAUCCCCGGGCUCAACCUGGGAACUGCAUUGGUGACUGGCAGGCUAGAGUAUGGCAGAGGGGGGUAGAAUUCCACGUGUAGCAGUGAAAUGCGUAGAGAUGUGGAGGAAUACCGAUGGCGAAGGCAGCCCCCUGGGCCAAAUACUGACGCUCAUGCACGAAAGCGUGGGGAGCAAACAGGAUUAGAUACCCUGGUAGUCCACGCCCUAAACGAUGUCAACUAGUUGUUGGGGGAUUCAUUUCCUUAGUAACGUAGCUAACGCGUGAAGUUGACCGCCUGGGGAGUACGGUCGCAAGAUUAAAACUCAAAUGAAUUGAC